UACGUAGGGACCAAGCGUUGUCCGGAAUCAUUGGGCGUAAAGAGCUUGUAGGUGGUUUGUCGCGUCUGCUGUGAAAUCCGAGGCUCAACCUCGGACUUGCAGUGGGUACGGGCAGACUAGAGUGUGGUAGGGGAGACUGGAAUUCCUGGGUGUAGCGGUGGAAUGCGCAGAUAUCAGGAGGAACACCGAUGGCGAAGGCAGGUCUCUGGGCCGAUUACUGACACUGAGAAGCGAAAGCAUGGGGAGCGAACAGG
rnacentral:rRNA from 1 species